rnacentral:misc_RNA from 1 species
GGGAAAAUAAGCUCUGGAGACAAAUGAAAAAAAUUGUUCCCUAACAGUCAUGAUCAUAAACCAAUAUGCUGUACUAUUGUAUGCUUAUCCCUUCUGAACACCUAUGCCUUGCUACUUUUCCUGAACUGCUUAAUUCCAAGCAGUGCCUAAUGGAGAAGCAGAGAAACAUAUGGUCUACCUCCCUCUUUAUCUGGAAGCCUUACCUCCAAAACAACCAUAUUAAUAUGUACAAAAUGGUUACCCAGAGUUACCAGCAACC